GAUCGAGUUUGAUCCUGGCUCAGAACGAACGCUGGCGGCAUGCCUAAUACAUGCAAGUCGAACGAUCACUUCGGUGGUAGUGGCGCACGGGUGCGUAACGCGUGGGAAUCUGCCCUUGGGUUCGGAAUAACUUCGGGAAACUGAAGCUAAUACCGGAUGAUGACGAAAGUCCAAAGAUUUAUCGCCCAAGGAUGAGCCCGCGUAGGAUUAGCUAGUUGGUGGGGUAAAGGCCUACCAAGGCGACGAUCCUUAGCUGGUCUGAGAGGAUGAUCAGCCACACUGGGACUGAGACACGGUCCAGACUCCUACGGGAGGCAGCAGUGGGGAAUUUUGGACAAUGGACGAAAGUCUGAUCCAGCCAUUUCCGCGUGCAGGAUGAAGGCCCCUCGGGGGUUUGUAAACCUUGCCUUUUGUAACGGAACGAAAAGGUCUCUAUUAAUACUAGGGGGCUCAUGACGGUACCGUAAGAUAAGCACCGGCUAACUACGUGCCAGCAGCCGCGGUAAUCU
rnacentral:rRNA from 1 species